rnacentral:lncRNA from 9 species
GCAGAGCAGCCGGGGGGCUUCUGGGCCACCCACACUCCCCGCCCCGCGCCUCCGCCCGCACGUCCGCACGUCUCGGGCUGCAACUUGGGGAAGUUUUUUCCUUUUCCUUUUUUUUUUUUUUUUUUUAAGUUGAGUUUGUUAUCACUGCUCGGUGCCACUUGGUGGUGUGCUGGCGGCGUCUCCCUCCCUCCUCGCGCCCCUCCCCUCUUCCUCUCCCCUCCCUCCCGCCUCUCUUCCCUCCCCAGUGGACGGAGGCAGGAAGGCUCCAGGCGCGCUCUCCCCUCUGACCACCUACGGAAUGACCUCAGAGUGGGAGAAUGUGCCAAGGCCCCGAGGAAGCUCGCGUUCUCCCCACUGCAACCAAAUUCACAUCUGGAGCCGCGCCUUCGGCCCGGGGGCGCGCGGGGCGGUUCCAGUUUGAGAGGGGUUAGGAAAGAAAGACUGAAGGAAAAAAAGAAAGAAAGAAAAAAGUGGCAGCUUGCUUUCUAUUUGACAGUGUCUGUCCCUCUCCCUCUCUCUCCCUCCCUCUCUCUCUCUCUCUCUCUCUCUCUCUGUCUCUCUGGUAGUCUCCCCAAAGCUCUCUCGCUCUUUCUCCGCCCUGCGCUCCCCUUUGCUGCGCGAGUCGCCCUGCAGGACCAUUCACGUCUCCCAUCACCCCCGAAGCCUCCCGCAGGGAGAGGAGGAGCUGCCGCCAAGAGGCCCUCACCCCAGGCUCCAAGAGGCGGACGCGAGCCAGUCCCAGGAGCCUGCUGGGCUGUGGGUCCUGGUGUCGCGCGACGCGAAGAAACAAGAAAGCUCGCCCGAAGUCAUGUGACGAAGAAGCGGCGGGUCGUACGGUUGGAGUUCACAGUCUAGUGGAGAAAAAUUCAUAACAUACUACAAUACGGGCUGGCAGAUGACCCUGACGCUAUCUAAAUAGUACCAUUGGUAAGUGCUGGCGGAACCCAGACUAGCAAACUGGGAGCACACCCCCCCAACGCUUCAUGCUCUGGGUCAAGGGAUGGAAAGACACCUGGGACAGUGGUGUCUGUGUCCCACCCCACCCGGGGCAGGGACUGACUAGAACCAGCUUGGGCAAAAGGUGGGAUUUCUUGGCUCAUGGCACUGAACUGUAGAGUGGGCAGGGGUGCAGCUGGCUUCAGGUACAGUUGGAUCCAGGGACAAAUCUGCCUCCCGCCACUUUAUUUAAAAAUUUAAAUAAAGAAAGAAAGUGGCCAAGCCCAGUUUGUUAUUGGGUCAGGUCUGUGUAACUCUGGGGGUUGAGCUGGGAACCACAAGUCCCAGCUUUGGACAGAUGCCUGAAGGGGAGGUGGCCCCAGGAAGCCCUCUGAUGCUUGGCCUCUGUGUGCAGGUCCACACUCACUCAACUGAUAUUAACAACUACCAGGAAGGGAGUGUGGCACAAGGAACCCAUGUGCAGGCCUAGGACAGAGCCCUAGGACAGAUCUCUUUGCCAAGGGUCCUUUGGAUGGGCCUGUCCAUGGGGCUCCAUCAAUUAGAAAGAAGGACAGGGAGUUCCCAUCGUGGCGCAGUGGUUAAUGAAUCCGACUAGGAACCAUGAGGUUGCGGGUUCGAUCCCUGCCCUUGCUCAGUGGGUUAACGAUCCGGCGUUGCUGUGAGCUGUGGUGUAGGUCACAGAUGCGGCUCGGAUCCCGCGUUGCUGUGGCUCUGGUGUAGGCUGGUGGCUACAGCUCUGAUUCGACCCCUAGCCUGGGAACCUCCAUAUGCCGGAUUGGCCUGGAGCCUCAGCCUGUCUGGUAUCACCAGGGAAACCGGUUGGGGCAGCUGCCCCAGACUGUGGUUAUACUGGUUUAGCCCCGCCCUCCAUCCCCCUCAGGCACCCUCCCCCCACUGACCCGAGGGAAGAAAGAAAGUUCCUAUAACACCAACAAUCCCUACCAUUUCUCCCGCGCUUACUGUGUGCUGGGCACUUCUCAAGUCCUUUCACGGGUGGUAACUGAAUCCUCCUCUCCCUGACUUCCCUUCUGCUCCCCUCUCCUGCCACUCUCCCCUUGCCCUCUGCCUCUUGCAAGGCUUCUUCCAGCUCCAACCCGCCAGUGAGUUCCUGUGUUUAGCCUUCGCAUUUGCUGUUCUGUCCACCCGGAAUGCUCAUCCACCUUUGUUUGUCCAGCUAAUACGGUAGGGAUUUCUAGGGCUCCCCAUCUUGGGAUUUUGUCUCCUUCCCAGGCCCCCAGGAGCACUGCCCCUCCCAGGCCCCUUGCAGUUCGGCAGGUUUCUGGGAGGAAUUCUGGCCUUUGGCUUGUGAGUUAUUUCCCUUUGCAGAAUAACCUGGGUCCUGCAUCUCUGAGUCGCCCCGAGAGGGAAGGCAUCCCGGAAGAGCUGUCUGAUUUAGUCAGACUUUGCAUGUUCAAGAAAUUAAUCUCAGAGUUCCUGCUGUGUCGCAAUGGCAUCGGCAGCAUCUCUGGAGUGCUAGGAUGCAGGUUCAAUCCCUGGCCCGGCACCAUGGGUUAAAGAUCUGGCAUUGCCGCAGCCGUGGCAUAGAUCUGAUCCCUAGCCUGGGAUCUGCAUCGGCUGUAGGGUGGCCAAGAAAGAAAAAAAGAAAAAAUUAAUCUUACUUGUGGCUGCCAAGGGGGAGGGGAAGGGAGUGGGGUAGACUGGGAGUUUGGGGAGUAAUAGAUACAAACUAUUACAUUUAGAAUGGAUAUGCAAUGAGGUCCUGCUGUAUUUCUGAUCACUUGGGAUAGACCCAUGACGGAAGACAAUGUAAGAAAGAGAAUGUGAAUGUAUAUAUUUGACCAGGUCACUCUGGUGUACAGCAGAAAUUGUCACGACAUAGUAAAUCAACCAUUCUUUGCUUUUUUUAAAAAAAGGGGGGGCAUUAAACAGAGAUACCUAUCAAAAAAUCAAGUCAUACUCAAAAUGCGGGAAAAAAGAAAUUAAAUCUUUGUUGUGUUAAAUUGCUGAGAUUCGGGCAUUAAUUUGUUCCUGCAGCAGAGCUUAUUUUAUACUAAUACAACUGACCCAUUUAAGAUGUCAGCUCAAACAUCGGGCCUUCUUGAGCACCACGUUUAAAGUCGUGCCGCUUGCUGGAGUUCCCAUUGUGGCACAGUGGUUAACGAAUCCAACUAGGAACCAUGAGGUUGAGGGUCCGAUCCCUGGCCUCGCUCAGUGGGUUAAGGAUCCGGCAUUGCCGUGAGCUGUGGAUCUCUCCACUAGAAUGUAAGCUCCAUAAGGCCAGGAGCAUGUCUUGUUCACACUGUGUCACUGGCGUCUGACAUACAUAGGUCCUCAAUAUAUUUAAAUGAAUGGAUGAAUGAACCCAUUUCUUUUUUUCUUUUUUUUUUUUUUUUUUCGGUCUUUUUGUCUUUUUGUUGUUGUUGCUAUUUCUUGGGCCGCUCCCGCGGCAUAUGGAGGUUCCCAGGCUAGGGGUCCAAUCGGAGCUGUAGCCACCGGCCUACACCAGAGCCACAGCAACGCGGGAUCCGAGGCGCAUCUGCGACCUACACCACAGCUCAUGGCAACACCGGAUCGUUAACCCACUGAGCAAGGGCAGGGACCGAACCCGCAACCUCAUGGUUCCUAGUCGGAUUCGUUAACCACUGUGCCAUGACGGGAACUCCCAAUGAACCCAUUUCUUGAAUGAGUGUGACACAGGCAGGUGAGCCUGCGCUCAGGUAGAUGUGACGUCUGAAUUGCCACCUGCAAUUUUCUUACUGUGACUAGACACCAGCCUCAGAUGAUCAGAAGUUCCCGGGCUAGGGGUUGAAUCAGAGUUGCAGCUGCCAGCCUAUGCCACAGCAAUGUAGGGUCCAUUGCAGCUUGCAGCAACACCGGAUCCUUAACCCUCUUAGUGAGGCCAGGGAUCGAACCCGAAUCCUCAUGGAUACUAGUUGGGUUCUUGACGCACUGAGCCACAGCGGGAACUCCUCUGCCACUUUCUAGGUGACAAUAAUCUCUUCGCUUCCCCUUUCCAAGUCUCCAAACCCUUAUCUGCAAAAGGAGGAUGCUUUUUUUUCUUUUUCUUUUUUUUGGAGGGGCUACCCCUGCAGCAUAUAAAAGUUCCCAGGCUCAGGGUCGAUGAAUUAGACCUACGCUGCAGGUUUUCAGAACAGCCACAGCAAUGCCAGAUCUGAGCUGCAUCUGUGACCUACGCCACAGCAGCAAUGCUGGAUCCUUAACCCACUGAGCGAGGUCGGGGAUUGAACCUUCAUCCUCAUGAUAACUAUUCGGGUUCUUAACCCACUGAGCCACAAGGGGAACUCUAAGGAGGAUGCUUUUGGGUACCCACCUAUGCAGUGAGCCUCCUACAGCACCACACCUGGCAUACAGUGGGUGCCUAAUAAUUAGAGCUAUGAUAUAUCAUCACUGGUCAGCUCGGCACAGAUAAUACCUUUUUCCCCGCCAAAUGCAGGAAAGGUCCUCUACCAACUCGCUCCACUCAACAAAAUCGAUGACCUACAAAAUAAGAAGAAGCACCUUCUUCCAGAGAGACCCACACAAGAUCUUUUCACUCUGGGGCUGGGGAAGGAGGGCGGAGGACAUGCCCUAUAAACUUUGUUGGAGUUUUUCGUGUCUUUCCAUAAAUUGGUACUUGUGUUUGCAAAAGAGGUUCUUCUGCAGGAAAAUGUCUGGGUAUCUUGAGGGCCUGGCUCUGCCUGAGAGUCAACAUUUACUCAGGGCUUGUUGAACAGUUUCAUUCAGGACACGGGCUUGGUGAUGGAAUGAAUGAAGGGAUGGAUGCCUGCCUGAAUGAACCAACCAUCUGUCCUCCAGAAAGUGGGUUAAAGGGAAAACAGCAGGGAAAGAGAUUGUUGGCCCGCACCCCCCCCCAUCAGCCCUUUCCCCACCCCAACCCCCUGGGUCACCUCCCCUUGACCCUGCCGUCCCC